AGAGUUUGAUCAUGGCUCAGGACGAACGCUGGCGGCGUGCUUAACACAUGCAAGUCGAACGGACGAUUUCCUUCGGGAGAAAAGUUAGUGGCGGACGGGUGAGUAACGCGUGAGUAACCUGCCUUGGAGUGGGGAAUAACACAGGGAAACUUGUGCUAAUACCGCAUAACAUCGCGAUUGGGCAUCCUAUUGCGAUCAAAGAUUUAUUGCUCCAAGAUGGGCUCGCGUCCGAUUAGAUAGUUGGCGGGGUAACGGCCCACCAAGUCGACGAUCGGUAGCCGGACUGAGAGGUUGGCCGGCCACAUUGGGACUGAGAUACGGCCCAGACUCCUACGGGAGGCAGCAGUGAGGAAUAUUAGGCAAUGGGGGGAAAAACCCCUGACCUAGCGACGCCGCGUGAAGGAUGAAGGUUUUCGGAUUGUAAACUUCUUUUAUGAGGGACGAUAAUGACGGUACCUCAUGAAUAAGCCACGGCUAACUACGUGCCAGCCGCCGC
rnacentral:rRNA from 1 species